AUUUGGGUUUUUUAUUCGUACAUCCCUUCUCAUUUAAAGCAGCUGGGUGUCGGGGCCACGCGUACGGUGCCUCUAUGUACACGCUUGAACCGAAAAAAUUUGGAAUUCCAUCCCAAACGCAAAUCGAGAGGACGAAAACCCUAGCGGCGUGUGUGAAGUAUUUCGUGCUUCAGCUCGUACAAAAACUCGCGUUGUGAAUCAAUCCUCUUCAGUUGAAACCGGGGUAUUUGAAACUCUGUAUCAUCAAAUGGAGGUUCAUUUUGAUUCUGAAGAUCUCUAUCAGGUCAAAAGAAGAAAAAAAGAUCUCUAUCAGGUAGAGGAUGAGGUGCAUGAGCAACGUGAUCUACCAGUAACUUUACAAUUUAAAUGGUUUCAAACGGAGCUUCAUUUUGAUUUUGAAGCGCUCUCAAUCAGGACAAGGAUAAGAUCAUUGGUCAUAUAAGGCUUGAGCUACGUGAUGCAUCAGUAUUUGUAGAAACUCGCGGGUGCCGUAUUUCAAAGUUUGCUGAUGAAGACAAUGCAUGGAUGGUAUGUGACAUAUUAUUGACAAUGCUUGGUCACUUUGGACCAUACUUGCCACCUCCCUUUCAAGUGGAAGCAGAUACUUCGUGGUAUCUUUCCUUCGCAACGGAAGGUGCUCUUUUCAAACCAUCCAGAGAAAAACUUUAUAAAUCCUGUACACUUUACGAUGACGGACACGUCUUUUUCCCAUCUAUAUCCUAUAAAAGCAUCUUAAGGGAUAUAAUUGGAUCUGUUUGGCUUUUGGGUGAUACACAAUUGCGUUGUCGCUUAUCUCUGGAGAAUAUUUACAUUGUGGAGUAUGAUGGCACUUGCAUGCAGGAUCGUGCUACUUUUGCCUAGUUUUUGAGAUUUGACCUGCGAGGUCUAUAUUUCUAAUACCUUUUGUUGGUUUUGAUGCUCUUAUUGAUUGUUAAUAGAUUUUAACAAUAUGGUUGCAGAGCAUUAAAUUGAUGACAAAGUUGAAGUGCGUGAAGAAUUGAGGAAACUUUUUGAGGAGAUCAAUAGCAAAUGCAAUGUUGAUGGUGGUUCAAAAUUUGUGUUUGACCUUUUUUUGAAGAAUUUCACUUUGGAAUAUUCUAGAGCCAAUAAUGGGAAAAGGACUUAUAAUUGCUGAUCUUGACACAUGGAAGCAAAGUAGAGGUUAAGCUACUUAUGAUGAUGCAAACGACGUCGGGGGCUACAGAAUGAGGGGUGAUUAUAUUCCUUCAGGAAUCAUCCUACAAACUAAUGAAGCUUUGUUGGUCAACCUGCUAUGCCAAAAAGUUUCUGCAUUGAUACUGGUUGAAUUACAUGAGGUGAAGAUUAAAGGACUUUGAGUAUUGCUGCCAUAGAGUGCAAGAUUAAAGAUUGCAGUUGGCGCUGCUAAAGGCCUCUCCUUCUUUCAUGGAGCAGAGAAUCCAGUGAUAUACCACGACUUCAAGACUUCCAAUGACUUGCUGGAUACUGAUUUCACAACAAAAUUAUCAGAGUUUGGACUAGCAAAGAUGGGACCUGAGGGAUCAAACACAUGUCACAACAAGAGUGAUGGACAUAUGGGUAUGCAGCUUCAGAAUAUGUCUCAACAGAUAUUUGGCAUGGCCACGGCACUUGGCAGCAAAAAGUGAUGUAUACAGCUUUGGAGUGGUGCUGCUAGAGCUACUUACGCAGAGGAAAUGCAUGGAUAAAUCAAGACCAAAGAGUUAUGAUGUGGUGUUGGGUUUCGGUUCUUCCUCCCUCUCUGUGUAUGCCUCUUCAUUUAAUAAAAGGUAAUUGUGUUUGCUUUAAUUCUUUACAUGCAUUUUGGUUCGAUUUCUUUUGCGAAAGAUUGAAUGGCUUUUUGGUAAUUAAUUUAUUUGUUUAAGUAUGCCCAGUAUCUGUUAGGCAGAAGACAUAUUUGAGCCUUCUGGAAUGGGGCUUACUUUUCUUGACCUUAUUAGCUACUAAUCGGGGCAUUGUUUUGUCAUUUAGUUUCGUUUUGUAUGGCCGAGUUGUUUUUGGGUUACCCUUUAAUUAACACUUUUGGAGUUAGGGAGCGGGUGCCAUUGCAGACUUGGGGCUAACAAAGCUAGUCCCAAAGGCACAUGACAUGUUUCCUCGCCAUGAGUAUUUUCUACCAUUAACUGUUCUUUUUCUAAUUCACUCCAAGUAAAAACAACCUUUUCAGAGAAGCAGAGCACAUAGAUAACUUGAGUCGAGUGUGACGAAAAGGAACGAAGAUGGAGAGGUUUAAAUAGUGAAAGUGUAAAAAAUAAAAUUGAACUAAAUCUUGCUAUAAUUUCUUAUCUAACGCAACAAACUGCGAAACAGAAUCCAGAUUACUAAUUAUCUCACUACCCUACUCAGAGAAGAGUUUGUUUGAUCAAACCUUCAAGCUACCCUUAGAUUUGCUUCCACUGCCCAUGCUUGAUUUAUCCUUUAUAGGCUUCCUUUCUGUUACAACUUCAAAGACAGUAGGCUGAUCAUUGAUCAGGCUAAAUAGUAUGCUUGAUCUUGAAUCAUUUUGUGAUUCUUGCUCUUUUUUUUCUGGAUGAUCGCAUAUGUGAGCUUAUAUUUGGACAAUGCUCGAGUUUUUUUUGGUGUGUGAGCUUAUAUUUGGCCAGUCGUUGCUGCUUAUUGAGUGCAUUUACUAUUUUUCCAACAGUUUCUCUUGCAUCUGCUUUUCCUUCUCAGGUAAUUCUCACACUUUCUUUAACAUGAGCCAUCUUAAACUUCAUUGGUACUUCUGCUUACUUCUCUUUCUAUACUGUACUUCAUGUGUUGUUCUGUCUAUCUUUGAUCAUGAAUGCUAGAAGCAGUGGAUUACAUACAAUUUUCAGAAUGCUACCCCUUAGCAUAUUCUUGAACCUAAGUUACAUUGGAACAAGAUUUGGUUGCUACAUGUACACUUAAAAUACAGUCUUAUUUAUUUUUUAAACAUAUAGGUCAUUGAAAGCAAGGAAAAGGAUACCAACUCUUAUGGUGAUUACUUGACUGUAGAUGCUAUCUGUGUAUCAGUAUUGGUUGGUGUUCUUUCUACUUGUUGAAAUCUUAUUUAUGAAUGGUUUCAGAUGUUAGGUAUCAAAAAAUUAGGCCGUUGUAUGUAUUAUAAGAACAAUUUUCGAGAAAGCAGACUUCAUUGAGUCAUCCAUUGGACAUGUAUGACAACGUUAUCUUUUGGAAAAAGUAUCAGCGCAUGAAUUUCAUUGAUUGCAUACUUGAACUCUCUUGGUUGGGAGAUAUUGUGAUCUAUGGCAAUGAGACUAAAGAUGCUUUUGAGGAGGAUUGGGAGUCUAAAUUGAGGAGUCAUCCUGAUAUUCCAUCAUUUCUCGAGCUGAAUAGGCAUAUUACUAAACCAAGCAGCUUUGAUGAUACAAAAGGGGUGCCGGAUACCAGUAUGAAGAAAUGUAUUGAGACCAUUAGGGACUUGUACUUUAAUUUUGAACGUAUGAAACAACUAUCGGAGAAUAUGGGGGUCAAACCCAAACUUCAAGACGCUGAGCAUUUGCAAAGAAGUGGCCUUUGAAUAUGUCUUUUCGACCAUGGAUAUCACCGAGCCUCUUUUUUUUCCUCAAGGACUCACCGCUUCUUGUUUGAGCAUGUACACGGUCCCAGAUUUUUAAUGUCAAAGCAUUUAUCCUCUGUUUACUGCGAAGCAUUUUAGCCCGUUAUAUAUGCAUAUGAAUAUUGAGAGUGUGUAUGUAGUCUGUUGACUUUCUGUAUCUUGAGGUUGCUUAGUUGAUGAGCAGUUCACAUGCGCUUGCUAGUUACUUAUGGUCUUUUCUUAAGACAAGUUAUUAAUGUUCUUUUCUUAAGACUAGUUAUUUGUGUUCAUAUACAUUGAUUUAUAAUCUUUUUCU